rnacentral:ncRNA from 2 species
CCAACAUAGUCGGGGAGCCUUAUCGGCUGAGAUCGCCACGCGAGACCCGUUGAACCUGAUUCAGUUAAUACUGACGUAGGGAACUAUUACGCGCAUAUA